rfam:Triticum urartu cultivar G1812 contig775432, whole genome shotgun sequence.
CAAAUACUUCCUCCGUCCGGAAAUACUUGUCAUCAAAAUGGAUAAAAGGAAAUGUAUCUAGACGUAUUUUAGUUUUAGAUACAUCUCUUUUUAUCCAUUUUGAUGACAAGUAUUUUCGGACGGAGGGAGUAUAAA